CGUGCUGUCCCAUCAGCACUACCCUACGAGGCAUGGCGUGAAGGUAACGACUCGUCAUGGAACCCUCUGACAACGUAUCCCACGAUCGAAAGAUCAGUUACCCGGCGAGGCGCGCACUUGAGAAGGAUCUGCGCGUGGGCGC
rfam:Acidobacteria bacterium 13_2_20CM_58_27 13_2_20cm_scaffold_2696, whole genome shotgun sequence.